CUGAUUGUUCUGGGGGAGUGGGACUGGGGCGGUGGGGUGGUGGUAGGAAAAGCCUUAGAGGUAGAGGGAGGUGUGACAAGAAUCCCGAGGAUCCGUCCUCUCCUGCUUUCAGGCUCCUGGGGUCAUGAGCUGGAUGCCAUUGAUAAGGCCGAGCCGAGUGAUGGGAAAGAGAAGAGGGGUUCUGUGUUCCACUUGUUAGGGUUCCUCGCCCGAGAGGAAGAGGAGACCCAGGAUACUGAGAAGCGGGGUCGGAAUGGAAAAUGCAGGCAUCGAAUGUUUGGGCUUCAAACAAGUGACGGAUAUAGUACAUCCUUGGAUAAUAGGUUCUGCAUAAUGCUCUGCAUAAUGGGGAGUAUAUUGCCUUCUCCUUCCCCUUCCCCUUCUUCUGUGCCCAGCCCUUCCAUGGCCUUGGUCAGCUCCUCUUCAGACAUGCUGGAGUUCUGAAAAGGAUAGAAAUAGAGAUAAUAGCAUCAUGAGAGUGAGCAGAAAUCUUAUUACCUACUACCGCAAUCUACCUGAGGAGAAAGCACCAUGUUGAUACUUCGGAACAUUUUGAUACAAGCCACCACUUGAUUAGUUAGAUAAGGAGAAUGUCAGCAAAGAUGCCUCACUGCUCACCCACUCUCCCUG